UUAUAAGCUCCCCCAGGAAGGAUCUGAGAGCCAGAACCCAGGACACAUGGAUAAGGCCCCCGUGACAGCUCAGCCACCCGGUGCCAGAUGCUAACAUGAUGCCAACUGGACUUCCCUGGGCAGAUGACCCCAUCAAUGUGUCCUGGAGCCCUACCUCCCCAGAUCCCUGCCCCACUAGGGAAAGAAAGAGACAGGCUGGGAGUAUGAAUCAACCUACCAAUGCUCAUGUUCAGCGGAUGAACAAAGUUAGAGGGAAAUUGUUACUGUGUGACCACCAUUAUUCAAAGACAACCAAAGACCAGGUGGCAAAACUGAAAAGUGUCUUAGAUUACAGGAAAGGAAGAAGGCAUAGUGGCGGUGGGCUGUGAUAAAAGGGAUAGAUGGGAGAAGAAACCUGGAAGUCAUUUUUUUGGACUAAGUCAAUGACUUCAUUGUUUUAUUUGACUUAAAAGUUUUCCAUUAGCAGUGGAACUUGAACUGAGAAACAAAGAUUAAGCAUGGUUGCUAUCCUACAUAAAAUAAUAUUUACAGACUCUCCCAUAUUGUAGUCAGUUUUAAACAAUUUUAAAAUAAAGCAAUCUACACAAUAUUUUC